CUUACGUUGAAAAGUGAGCGGAUGAACUGAGGGUAGCGGAGAAAUUCCAAUCGAACCUGGAGAUAGCUGGUUCUCUCCGAAAUAGCUUUAGGGCUAGCCUCAAGUGAUGAUUAUUGGAGGUAGAGCACUGUUUGGACGAGGGGCCCCUCUCGGGUUACCGAAUUCAGACAAACUCCGAAUGCCAAUUAAUUUAACUUGGGAGUCAGAACAUGGGUGAUAAGGUCCGUGUUCGAAAGGGAAACAGCCCAGACCACCAGCUAAGGUCCCAAAAUAUAUGUUAAGUGGAAAAGGAUGUGGCGUUGCCCAGACAACUAGGAUGUUGGCUUAGAAGCAGCCAUCAUUUAAAGAGUGCGUAAUAGCUCACUAGUCGAGUGACACUGCGCCGAAAAUGUACCGGGGCUAAACAUAUUACCGAAGCUGUGGAUUGUCCUUUGGACAAUGGUAGGAGAGCGUUCUAAGGGCGUUGAAGCAUGAUCGUAAGGACAUGUGGAGCGCUUAGAAGUGAGAAUGCCGGUGUGAGUAGCGAAAGACGGGUGAGAAUCCCGUCCACCGAUUGACUAAGGUUUCCAGAGGAAGGCUCGUCCGCUCUGGGUUAGUCGGGUCCUAAGCUGAGGCCGACAGGCGUAGGCGAUGGAUAACAGGUUGAUAUUCCUGUACCACCUAUAAUCGUUUUAAUCGAUGGGGGGACGCAGUAGGAUAGGCGAAGCGUGCGAUUGGAUUGCACGUCUAAGCAGUAAGGCUGAGUAUUAGGCAAAUCCGGUACUCGUUAAGGC
rnacentral:rRNA from 1 species